rnacentral:miRNA from 1 species
GGCAGUGUUUAGGCCACCGCCACCCCUACACAUGGGUGGCGGUGGCCUAAACACUGCC